rnacentral:tRNA from 1 species
GCUUUUAUAGUUAAAUUAACAUUAGUCUUGUAAACUAAAAAUGGAAUAAUCCUUUAAGCA